GUGCCAGCAGCCGCGGUAAUACGUAGGGUGCGAGCGUUAAUCGGAAUUACUGGGCGUAAAGGGUGCGCAGGCGGAUAAUUAAGUUAGUAGUGAAAUACCCGGGCUCAACCUGGGAACGGCUAUUAAGACUGGUAAUCUAGAGUUUGUCAGAGGGGGGUGGAAUUCCAAGUGUAGCAGUGAAAUGCGUAGAGAUUUGGAGGAACACCGAUGGCGAAGGCAGCCCCCUGGGAUAAAACUGACGCUCAUGCACGAAAGCGUGGGUAGCAAACAGGAUUAGAUACCCUGGUAGUCC
rnacentral:rRNA from 1 species